UGAUGAUAAUGUUUGAUUUUAGGCUAGCUAAAUUAAGGUUACAAUUUUGAUCUUUUUGUUGGUUACAGGGCGAAGGCUGGCGAUUCUGUGCUCGAUUUGUGCUGUGGAAGUGGACAUCUCGCGUUUCUUUUGUCUGAGAAAGUUGGGUGCUCAGGAAAGGUUCAAGGGUUUCUAUUUUGGACAUCAACAAAAGUGAACAACCAUUUAUUACAUUAUUUCAGCUGAGUGGUGGGAAAUACAUGUCAUUUGAGGAAGAUAGCAACCAAGAUACUUUCUUAGACAUGCUCAACUACAUGGUGUGAGUGAAACUAGAGUACGUUCCAGUGGUUAUACACUCCUAUAGGAAACAACUAACUUCACAGAUGCUUCAAAAGCUCGUAUAUGUAUAUUACAAUUUGAACCUCCAAGAGUGGCAAAUAAGGAGGAAACAACCUAAUAAACCUAGAAGCAAUAUUCUUAGCACAUACUGUCGAUUAGUGUGUGGUGGAAGAGGAGUUAGUGCUAUGUAAAAGAGCAUUCUUUAAGGCAAUUGAUGAGGAAGAUGACGAAGAAGGUGUGGACGAGCAAGGACAAGGAGGUGACCUGCUAGUAUUUAGCAAUCUGCAUGAUAUCUAGACGGUCAUGUACCUGUUGAAGAAGAGGGGGGAGGAGAUUUUCGUUGCUUGGGGGGGGGGGGGAGAUAAGAGAGAAGAUGAUUCUGAGGGACCUCUAGUCCCACCAAGAUAUAUGCAGCCCGAGCCUCAACACCAAGAAGAUGCAGGCGAGUGUUAGGGGUGCACCAGCCUUGGGGAUUUAGGGGAAGGAGAGCUAUUCGCUCUAUCUAAUUCGUUCCUAAACCGCUAAGGCAAAUAUAGUCAGCCAAAUAUUAAUGAGUUCAAACCUUCAAACUCAUAUAUCAACUGGCUCAAUGAUUUGUCUGAACAAUUCAAUGAGUGGAUACAACAUGAUAAAGAAGAAGAACAUCGUCGUUCACUUUGGUAUUAAGUCAUAUCUUCAUAAUGGUAUGCUCUAUUUUCUUCAUAUUCAUGAUAAUUGUAUGCUCCAUUUCUAUCACGAAUGUAAUGGUCAACAAACACUCAAACAGGAAAUGACCUCUUAGUAUUCACAUAUUUUUACAAAAUUAUGAAAAUCUAUAAUACAACACCUUCAUUGUUUCUUGGAACUCAAAAAUAUUUUAUAAGAAAAUAUUAAAAAAUUGAAAUUGUUUUUGAGUUUGGAUAAGCCCAAACUGACUGAUCCACCAAUCCGAACCAAUUUCUUGAACUGCUGAUCUGCCCUGCCAAUCCUAGGUUUCAAACAUUGGCUGUAACCAAUGGGAGAGAGCUCACCUAUGAAGAUUGGGAAUCUAAAGGUUAAGAUUAUCGAUCUUACCAUGUCAUAAGGGAUAUCUGGUAGUCAUGUUGGUAGGGAAGUCAUUCCCAUAGUAGAUUAUGUGGCCUAGGGAGGUGUGUUGGGUCUCGAUCUUUGGGUAACUCAUUUCCAUGGAGUUAACUUUCUAUUGCAUGUAGUUCUGGUUUACCGUUUGUGCCAUUGAUGUGUUGGCUAUUAUAUUAAUAAGGCACGUCCUUAGAAGAGAAACUGGAAAGUAAAAAACAGUCAAGUAUAUGCUAGAGCGAAAAGAUGUUAAUGGGCAAAAGUGCCCUUUACAAAUUGUGCAUGGUAUAGAGCCAUCCUUUGGAAACAUGAUUGGACCAUAUAGUUCAAUCGGUUGGACCAAGAACCUCGGCGUUCUGUUUUGACGACAAACAAAAAGGCAACUGACAUUUCACAAGUUGCUAGAAAUCCUCCUUUCUUUUAAGAAAUGAAUAUGUUGAAGAAAUGACUGAACGCCAUAAAUAAUCCUUUGAGAUGAUUUACUGCAUAGGUCAAUUACGGUCAAGUUUCGUAACCAUCUUCCCACUUUUCGCGGCCCACCUCAUGGCCAUUGCACCCACGUCGCAGCAUCCCACGGUCAAUUCGCAUUUGAAUUAGUUUGCGCUUACCUAACCCAGGUGCCUUAGUCCCUCGUUUAGCCUGCCACCGAGUUGUGCCAUUAUUUGGUGUGCAGGCUUAUGCACCCAAGUGCCAUGAUGCGCACAUGCCUUGUCUGCACUACCCACCCUUCAACCCAAGGCUCACACAUCCCUCCCAUGUAGGAGUGUAGUAUUAAAAAACUACACCACUGUGAGUGAACACUAAUAGCCUCAAAGUAGCAUUGGUUCACCAGGAUGGUGCGUGAGGUUAGCUGGUGCACCAGGCUGGGACGUAAUGCUAGCAGAAGGGUUUGGUAGUUCGUCUUGCCAAUUGAGUGGUGCGUCAAGGGAGGUUUGUUGGCCAUUCCCUUGACCAACAUGCAUGCAUUGAGUUGGGGUCUUGACAAGCCUCCAACCAAUAGUUCCUGACGUCCUCAUUGGGGGUCUAGCUAAGAAUCUUGGACUAGCUCCUCAUAUUCCAAAGGGUCGCAUCCUUCUCCCUUUUUCGUCCUCAGGCCAGUCCUUCCACUUGACCAGGAAUUCCACUGUCUGAUUCUUCAUGCUUUGGCCGAAAAACUAUCGAGCCAAUAUAGCCUCCACCUUGUGCUCGAAUUUGGUCCUCACAUUUGGUGGAGCUUGUACUGCUUGAACCCUAUUUGGAUCAUCAUCUUUGUGAUAGGGCUUCAAAAAGCUCACGUGGAGCAUUGGAUGCACCUUGAUCCGGUUAGUAGGGCUAACCAAUGGGCCAGCUUGCCUAUGAGCCUGAUCACCUUGAAGGGGCCAUCAUCCCUCUAGUUUAGCCCACGAUCUGUAGUUUUUGCACUAAUUUUCUUCUUUAUCUAUGGGGUGAGUUUGAGAAUGGCUUAGUCACCUACUUCUGACUCAAGGUGCCUCCAACCUUGGUCCCCAUAUUUCUUCGUCUGCUUGACUACUUGGUCAAGGCACUCAUUGACCUAUGCAAGCUGUUCGUCACAAGGGCCUACCCUUGUUGCAAAGCCACAUCAUGUAUUGCCAAGGGCUAUCGACUAAUAGCCAACUUGAAUGGAUUCUUCCUAGUCAACGAACUGCUAUGCAGAUUAUAGUAGAAUUGAGCCAGACUGACCUAAUUGUGCUGGUCUAUUACCAUCACAUAGUGCCUCAAGUACUCCCCCAACACAACAUUCACACUCUAGGCCUAGCCAUCUAUUUAAGGAUGACUGCUGAUGGAGAAGUUUAGUUUUGUUCCCAUCCACUCAAAUAAGUGUCCCUAAAAUCUCCCAAUGAGCGGAGCACCCCGGUCACUCACAAUGUCUUCAAGGACACCCCACAUCUUGAAAGUUGGAGACGGUUGACUAGCACGGUAUAUGCGAUUUUUAAUUUUUCUCUUUUCUAUUGGUUAGAACACUUACAAAGGUCCAAAUAAUACAAAAUAAACUCAAAAUCAACAAAUAUGAAUACCAAUACGGUUCUUACUUGCUUCCACUAAAUAAAAGUCUUUUAUUUCAAUGACCAAAAUUACAUAAGACUCAAUAGGGAACAAGAAACCCAAACUGCAUAACGUAAAAUAAGUUGUUAGAAGAUUACCUGAACUGGACUUGAUACACCCCACUCUGGGUCUCCUCUAUUGGUGCUCAAGAUUAGAGUCUAUCUCAGAUCUUAUAGGUAUGGGAAGCCUAGACUAGGAACCUUUCAAUCAUAGAGAGCAUUGUGGAACACAAAUAGGACUCAAGCUCUUGUGAGGGGCAUGGCUACUCUUAGGUUUACAAGACUGGGGCGUGGCCUAUUUUCUUUCUUGCACAAUAAUUUUCUAACUCUUACGGAGGCUAGAGAGAUGAGAGAGAUAAAAGGGAGAGGGAGGCGUGCCUCCUUUGUGAGGGAGAGAGAAAUUGUAACUUAGGGUGUAGAGAAUGAUCCCCCAUUGAGACUAUUUAUAGGCUCAUGUUUAGGGAUAUGGUUUCUAAGGCUAGCCAUCCUUAUGGAGAAUAAAUCCAGACCAUUAGUUAUAGGAUACCUGUUGCGUGAGAGAUUUUAACCUUACAAUCCUUAGAGCAGCCAUCAUGAUCUAAAAGAAUGUGCUAAAACCCUAUCCUUGGCUUCCUUAACUUAAUCUCAUCAAAUAUUCAAUUUAUGGAAAAAUAUAUUUCCUUUUCCUUUAAUUGCCAUAUUUUCUCUUACACAUGCUUCUUUGAAAAGUCAAAUAUCUUUUAAUUGCAAAACCUUCCCUUUUAUUUUAAACUGAAUAAGUGACUGAGUUUGCAUGCCACAAGAUAGGAAAGGAAUAGCAUUAUUUGGGGCGUGCUUGUCAUGGAGCCCCAAGUGGGCCCCACACACCUCCCCUCAUGCGAUUAUUUUAGUGGGGCCCAUGGAGUGCAAUAGGCUCCCAUGUGUAUUAUAAUUUUAAAAUUGUGACAAUGAUUUUUAGAAAUCAUUUAUUCUCUCUUAAUAAUUAAAAACUAAAAAAUGAGUUUUACCGUAUUUAUAAAUCUAUUUUGAAACCAAAAAAUCCAAAAAUUUCUUAAAAUUAAGUUUAUUCAUCUAAAAAUCAUUUAACUAAAUUAAUUCGACGGGAUUUGGAUCCAACUAUGUUGAGGAAAUAACAAAAUUUAUGAAGCAUUCCAUCUUCUACAAGAGACCAUGAACUGCAACCACUUUCUCAAACUGACUCAGUACUUCCCAUGACCCCAUAGUCCAUCAUAGGGGUUCAUGAUUCGGCUACCACAGUCAGCCAAUAGGUGAGAAGACAUAAUCCUAUUAUAUGGAUUACCGGAUCUCCCCUGGGACAAGUCCUAAGUCACGCAUACAUGUACACACAUGUUGCAUUUGGUGCAUAUGAGGGUAAUCCCUCGCACAUGUACACGCAUCACCCUCAAUGGUGCUUUGUUUCCCGAUAUGGCUAUCAUGUGUACAUGAGUGUGAUGGUACAAGACAAGGCUUGGCCCUCGUCCCUUUAAGCCCACCAAUCACACACAAGGGUCACUUAGUCCCUGGCUCACUACCCUGGACAACUCCGACCUCAUCAAGGGAUAACCUUGCUAACCCUUCUCAGUUGGACUCUAUACCCAGGUAUGUAGGGUUUUGGUACUCGACUGGCCUAGCUCGUUAAGCCUAGUCUAAGUCUUGGAAACAAUAUUGCCAAUCUCGGUCCCUUUGGACCACACUCCCACUGGAGUUCUUUGUUCCACUAUAACAAAAUUGCUUACAAGCUCUCAUAAGGCCUUUAAAUGGCUACAAAAGUCCAACACAUCUUCACUAUGUGGGUCAAGAACAACUGCACUGCUGCCUCUAAAGUGCAGUGAUCAGGAGCCAUGGUCAAAGUUCCAUACUUGGAGAAUCGAUAAACCAUGACCAUGAUCUAGGUCAUUCCAUCCUCCUAGUCUAGCUGCCAUUGAAGUCCUCCGGUAGGCUCCCCAUGGGCAAUCAGGGAUAAGAAGGGGCUCGAGCAACCCGACCCGCUUUUGUUGAUCCGUCUUCCUACUGACACACCAAGCAGGUAUGGAAAUAGAGUUCUACCUUCUACUCCAUACGAGGCCAAUAGAAGUUCCUGGACAAGAGAGCUAGGGUCCUUUCUUUACCAAGGUGGCCCGCUACUGGUGCAUCAUGGCAUGCCAUCAACAGCUCUUUUUUGAGAUCACCUCCAUGAAGCACAUACACACCGGCCUUUGGCAUUGAAGACGCCACCCUCUAGCCGAAUGUGCUAGGUGUGUCUCUCCUGGACAUUUUGCACUAGCUUUUGGGUUAAUAGAUCAUUUGAAGUCUCCUCACAAAUCCCCCGGAGUAGUCCUCCUUCUACUCGAACCAUGGCUGCAACCAAAACUAGAUGAUAAGCCUUCCUUCUUAGGGCAUCAACUACAACAUUGGCUUUUCCUAGUUUAUAUUCCGAGGAAAAGUCAAAUUUUGCUAGAAAUUCUUCUAUGUAGUGAAGUAGCUUGUGGCCUCAUUGUUUGUGCAGACCAAAAACUUACUUUUCAACAAGUAAUGCCUCCAUGCGCAAGCAAUAUACUACUACCAUCAUUUCUUUCUCAUGGACCGAGUGUAUCUGCUUGGUCUCAUUGAGCUUUCGGCUCUCAAAGGCAAUUGGGUGCGCAUCUUGCAUCAGGACUCUCCCAAUCUCUUGGCUUAAUGCAUUGGUAUGUACUUUGAACAAAGUCAGGAAGGCGUAGCACUGGUUUGCUAGUGCCUACCCUCUUAACUUCUGAAAGGCCUCACAGUCAUCCAUCCAGUCCCACUUGACCUUAUUCUUGGGAAGUCUAGUCAAGGCAUAAUCUUCUUUGAGAAGCCCUCAAUAAUCGCCAGCAAUAGUUAGGUAGCCCAAGAAAGGACCGUAGCUCACGGACGUUCUUAUGCUGCGGCCAAUCUAAGAUAGCACACAUCUUUUGAUCAUUUAUUUUGAUCACUCUGUUACCCACUCUAUGCCCAAGAAGCAUGAUUCCUCUUUAGCUAAUAGACAUUUUUCUAGCUUUAAAUACGAUUAACUCACUCUCAAAUUCUCUAACACCAGCCUCCAAUGUUGAACAUCAUCAAGGUUCUGGCUAUACGCUACAAUAUCAUCUAGGUACACAACUACAAAGACAUCAAUAUACUCACUAAGCACAUCAUUUAUUAACUGACUGAAAGUUGUGAGGGCAUUAGUAAGCCCAAAUGGCAUUACAAGAAAUUCAAACGAUCCAUAACGGGUUACACAAGCUAUCUUCUCUUCAUCUUUGCUAUCCAAACUUGCCAGUAGCCUAAGCACGGUCUUGUUUAUUGAACACCGUGCCUUAGCCACCCCGUCAAAGAGGUCACUAAUGAGGGGCAGUGGGCAGCGGUUUCUUCACCGUCAGCUUGUUCAGUUUGUGAUAGUCCAUGCAUGUCUGCAUGGAUCCAUCUUGCUUCUUUUAGAAAAAAACUGAGGCACCGAAUGGAGACUUGGAUGGUUGGAUCAUCCAAGAAUCUAUUAGCUCGUCUAGCUGCUUACGUUAUUCAGCCACCUCCAAGGGAGCCAUUUGAUAUGGGGCAUGAGCUAGUGGUCGAGCGCCUGCCUCGAGAUCGAUCUAGUGGUCCACCUCUCUUCGUGGAGGGAGGGAAUUUGGGAGUUCGGGGGGUACCACACCAACAUACUUUUUCAGCAACUCCCCGACCACAAGGGGCACUGAGACACCUUUGGAUUCACUGAGCACUAGGGUGGCCAAGUGCGUAGCCUGACCCUGUUGCAGCCUUGUCUUCAGUUGUAGGGUAAACAGCAUUUUGCCUUUUCCUUUGUGCUCAAUUGGAACCAUAUGUGGGCACGACUCAUCAAAGAUGGUCACCACACCCAAGUGUGGCACCACUGCAGCCCUCGCCAUCACCAAAGUCUCAAGGCCGAAGAUGACCUCGAAAUCAUCUGAAACCCCUGCCAGGAGUGAAAUUCGCCCACUCCAGGUUCCCAUCGUUACAAAGACAUCAUGAACCCUCCCCACAACUGACUGGGUGUAGAAUUAACUAUUUUCAUCCUACUAGCGUCCCUAGCUAGCUAGCCUGAGGCCUAGCCACAAUAUCGCUCGGUCGGCCACAAAGUUAUGGGUGGCACUAGUGUCCAUUAUCACUCUCAAAUCCUUCCCAUUUAAGGUGAUCCUGACAUACACCAGGCCACCACCCUCCUUGCCUACAUUUUGUAUUGCAUUUCCAUGAAAUUAAAAGGGUGUGGCUCUCACGACUUCUGCUUCGCCUUCAUCCACCACCUGAACUGCAUGUCUGCUUUUAGGGGCAGUCCUUGGCUCUAUUGAGGCCUUUGUAGAUGAAACACCAGGAGACGUCCUUGGUACCUAGUUUGCCAAAACAGUGCCGCUUAGGUUGUCUACCUGUUUGCCGUUUGGGGUCCCCAUUACUUUCUUUUCUUUUCCUCUACAUUUGCCUUGUCAAGAUCCCUUGGAUGAGGCAUUCAACUUAUAGUCCACUAGGGACUCUGUAGCUAGCCACGGCUGCUAGGAGGUCUUUCAAGCAUCAAGCUAAAAAGUUGCUUGACAUAUUCGCGCACAGUGGUAGUGUGCUUGAGUUUUCCUAGGGCCUCUCUGGCCGUCUAAGCUGCGUCCCUUGGCAGGAACUGCUCCUUAAGCUCCCGCUUGAGGUCCUCCCAACCUAUAACAGGAGGCCUCGACCUGUCCAUCUUGCGAGUCCUCCAACAGAGAUUUGUGUCUCUGGUAAGGUACAUUAUGGUCACUAUCACUGUGUCUUUUACCCUAGCCUGGGUAGUAGUAAAGUACUGCUCCAUGUCCCUUGGGGAGUUCUUUUGCUUCUUUGCACUUCUAGCUCCAUCAAAAGGCUUUAGCUCAGACACCUUGACUCGUGGCUGUUGAAGCACACUAACAGAGUUGCUCAGGACCCUUCUGACUUGGCUGAGCUCCUUAGUUAGGGUCUUGAGGUUUUUCUUGAAAACAUCAGUCAGGGAGGCAACAUCAGCUUCCAGGUCCCCAGCUGGGCUCCCCAAUUACUAAUGUGCUCCUCAUGUGUAGCCACCAGCCCAUCGCAUCAGGAGCUAAGAUCAUGGGCUCUCUCCUCUGGGUAGCCACUCAAACCACCAUCUCCCUCAUCCCCAAAACUCAUUCAGUCAUUCAAGGUCAAGGCCAUGAUUGUGGUACUGAGGCUCUGAUACUAAUUGUCACGGGGCCAAAUGUUUCGCUUAGCACCGUGCGGUCAUAACACUUGGCCAGGCUACUGAGGGACAAGUUCAAUCUUUCCUGUGUUCAGCAAUUACUAGCACAUGCAUACACACCACAUUCACAAGCACAAGGUCAAGGGUCGUAGCCCACUUUAUUGAGCUGUACAAUUACAAAUGUAUAUACUAGCAUAGAUGCCCCACCAAGGGUCUUGGCCAGGGGUAUAUGUAGCCCCGAGUUACAACCAACUCAUUCAAAUUACA